UUCCGGUUGAUCCUGCCGGACCCGACUGCUAUCAGAGUAGGACUAAGCCAUGCGAGUCAACGUAGCAAUACGUGGCAUACGGCUCAGUAACACGUAGUCAACAUGCCCAAAGGACGUGGAUAACCUCGGGAAACUGAGGAUAAACCGCGAUAGGUCAUGAUAUCUGGAAUGAUUCAUGGCUCAAAUCUACAUGGCCUUUGGAUUGGACUGCGUCCGAUCAGGCUGUUGGUGAGGUAAUGGCCCACCAAACCUGUAACCGGUACGGGCUUUGAGAGGAGGAGCCCGGAGAUGGGCACUGAGACAAGGGCCCAGGCCCUAUGGGGCGCAGCAGGCGCGAAACCUCUGCAAUAGGCGAAAGCUUGACAGGGUUACUCUGAGUGAUCUCCGAUAAGGAGAUCUUUUGGCAUCUCUAAAAAUGAUGCAGAAUAAGGGGUGGGCAAGUCUGGUGUCAGCCGCCGCGGUAAUACCAGCACCCCGAGUGGUCGGGACGAUUAUUGGGCCUAAAGCAUCCGUAGCCGGUUUCUGCAGUCUAC
rnacentral:rRNA from 1 species